CAGGGUGACAGGUGUGCAUGGUUGUCGUCAGCUCGUGUCGUGAGAUGUUGGGUUAAGUCCCGCAACGAGCGCAACCCUCGACCUUAGUUGCCAGCAUUCAGUUGGGCACUCUAAGGUGACUGCCGGCUAAAAGUCGGAGGAAGGUGGGGAUGACGUCAAAUCAUCAUGCCCCUUAUGACCUGGGCUACACACGUGCUACAAUGGGCGGUACAAAGGGUCGCGAGCCCGCGAGGGGGAGCCAAUCCCAAAAAGCCGCUCUCAGUUCGGAUUGCAGGCUGCAACUCGCCUGCAUGAAGCCGGAAUCGCUAGUAAUCGCGGAUCAGCAUGCCGCGGUCGAAUACGUUCCCGGGCCUU
rnacentral:rRNA from 1 species